ACAACCGCAGGGUUACAGAAGGGCACAAACCUGCCUGGGAGUUUAUGUUCAUAUGGGUUGGACUCUUAGCACCCUGCUGUUUUGUAGACCAACUAUUUUUCUCGUGUUUGCAUCCCCUCUUUGUUGACUUUGGAGUUUCUGCUUUGACACAUACCUAUCGCCGCUGAAGAAAGAGAAAAAGCCGACGGCACGCUUGAGAACUUGUCAUGGUCAUCCAUCUCUCUGUGGAGUCAAGCCGUACCAGGCUCGGCACGCAGCCCGUGGAUGUUGGUGGCCCAAGAGGCACGGAGCAAACCGGCAGUUCAGCUACAAACCCCGUGUUCCAUAUGAGUUGGGAAAUUGUGUUAGAUGUAAAUAUAAACGGAAUACAAUGAUUUUCAAAUCC